rnacentral:tRNA from 1 species
GGGGCUGUAGCGCAGUUGGGAGCGCGCAUGACUGGCAGUCAUGAGGUCGGGGGUUCGAUCCCCCCCAGCUCCACCA